GAUGAACGCUGGCGGCGUGCCUAAUACAUGCAAGUCGAGCGAACAGACGAGGAGCUUGCUCCUUUGACGUUAGCGGCGGACGGGUGAGUAACACGUAGGUAACCUACCUAUAAGACUGGGAUAACUUCGGGAAACCGGAGCUAAUACCGGAUAAUAUUUCGAACCUCAUGGUUCGAUAGUGAAAGAUGGCUUUGCUAUCACUUAUAGAUGGACCUGCGCCGUAUUAGCUAGUUGGUAAGGUAACGGCUUACCAAGGCAACGAUACGUAGCCGACCUGAGAGGGUGAUCGGCCACACUGGAACUGAGACACGGUCCAGACUCCUACGGGAGGCAGCAGUAGGGAAUCUUCCGCAAUGGGCGAAAGCCUGACGGAGCAACGCCGCGUGAGUGAUGAAGGUCUUCGGAUCGUAAAACUCUGUUAUUAGGGAAGAACAAACGUGUAAGUAACUGUGCACGUCUUGACGGUACCUAAUCAGAAAGCCACGGCUAACUACGUG
rnacentral:rRNA from 1 species